ACCCGCUGAACUUAAGCAUAUCAAUAAGCGGAGGAAAAGAAACUAACAAGGAUUCCCCUAGUAACUGCGAGUGAAGCGGGAAAAGCUCAAAUUUAAAAUCUGUCGUCCUUUGGGCGUCCGAGUUGUAUUCUGGAGAAGCGUCUUCCGCGUCGGACCGUGUACAAAUCUCUUGGAACAGAGUAUCAUAGAGGGUGAGAAUCCCGUCUUUGACACGGACUACCGUUGCUUUGUGAUGCGCUCUCAAAGAGUCGCGUUGUUUGGGAAUGCAGCGCAAAAUGGGUGGUAAAUUCCAUCUAAAGCUAAAUAUUGGCGAGAGACCGAUAGCGAACAAGUACCGUGAGGGAAAGAUGAAAAGCACUUUGGAAAGAGAGUUAAACAGUACGUGAAAUUGUUGAAAGGGAAACGCUUGAAGUCAGUCGCGUCGUAUGAGACUCAGCCUUGCUUCUGCUUGGUGUAUUUCUUGCACGACGGGCCAGCAUCGAUUUCGACCGGUGGAUAAAGUCGAGGGGAAGGUGGCAUCUUCGGGUGUGUUAUAGCCCCUCUUCGCAUACAUCGGUCGGGAUCGAGGUUCGCAGCACGCCUUUUGGCCGGGGUUCGCCCACGUACGUGCUUAGGAUGCUGGCGUAAUGGCCUU
rnacentral:rRNA from 1 species